UACAGAGGGCAGCUACCCAGCAAUGGGAUGCGAAUCUCAAAGCCUGUCUCAGUUCGGAUUGGAGGCUGAAACCCGCCUCCAUGAAGUUGGAUUCGCUAGUAAUCGCGCAUCAGCCAUGGCGCGGUGAAUACGUUCCCGGGCCUUGUACACACCGCCCGUCAAGCCAUGGGAGCCGGGGGUGCCUGAAGUUCGUGACCGCAAGGAGCGACCUAGGGCAAAACUGGUGACUGGGGCUAAGUCGUAACAAGGUAAC
rnacentral:rRNA from 1 species